rnacentral:SRP_RNA from 1 species
GCCGGGUGUGGUGGUGCAUGCCUUUAGUUCCAGCUACUUGGGAGGCUGAGGUGGGAGGAUCACUUGAGCCCAGGGGUUCUGGGCUGUAGUGCGCUAUGCCAAUCGGGUGUCCGCACUAAGUUCAGCAUCAAUAUGGUGACUUCCCGGGAGCAGGGGACCACCAGGCUGCCUAAGGAGGGGUGAACCGGCGCAGGUCAGAAACAGAGCAGGUCAAAACUCCUGUGCUGAUCAGAGGUGGGAUCGCGCCUGUGAAUAGCCACUGCACUCCAGCCUUGGCAACAUAGCAAGACCCCCGUCUCU